UCCCUGGUGGCUGAGAUGGUAAAGAAUCUGCCUGCCAAUGCAAGAGACCCAGGUUCGAUCCCUGGCUUGGGAA
rnacentral:tRNA from 1 species